AAAAGUCAGGUUUGACGAGUUGAAGAGAAUCAUCGGGAUGAGAAGUCUUGAGAACAUGAAUUAUGGGGUGUGUUAGAAGUUGUAAUUUGAAGUUCUGAUUGAGAGCUAGCAUUCAACUAGGUCGAAGUAACUAAUCGAAGUUGUUGUAGUCAGCUGUAUUCGACAGGGUUGAAUACAACAUACAAUAGUGUCGAAAUGUAAUAAUUUUGUAUUUUACAUUUUUGCCGUUUGGGAUU
rnacentral:lncRNA from 1 species